rnacentral:lncRNA from 1 species
UAGAUUAUGAUUUGCGUCGCGGCCACGCUACUGCGAUUAGUUCCUUCCAUAGUUUGCUGGGAUUUUUGGGUCCUUCCAGCUCGAGUUUUUAGUCGCGAUGCUGAUGACGUGUCCGGUGAUUCAGAGGUACAGUAAUAAAUAAUUUGGCAAAACUCAGGGAUGCUAGGCGCUAUGCACUUGUACCGUUUUGCAAGCUUGUAAUGCUGAUUAAUUAUGUAUGAUGGCAUCUCCAAUUAGCCUUUUGAGUGCUAUAUCUCAAAGUUUCUUUUUUGGUCAAGAGGUAUUAUUAUUUCUGGACUUUGAUUGUUCGGUUACCGGAGCUCGGCAUGGGCAGCUGUGUGUGUUUUCCCAUGAGCAAUGCCCGGAGAUUAUGGAAUGUGUCGGGGCCUCUAAAAUGUACUUCAAAGUUUUUCUCGGCUCACAAAUUUUUUUCCGCGGCUCUGGGUCAAUGGCAAAACCAGCGGGUUUCUGAUAGCAACUGCUGUGCCCUCAGUGUUUUAAGCACCUACCGACUCUUGCGAUUGCAUCUUCUACUCUGCUGGGUGCUGCAAGUUCUUACGUACCAGCCAUUCUGGCUCUCACAGCUGCAGCAGGUGAUACGAGUACUAUACAAAUAAUUUGAAUCCAAAAUCAACUUCAAUUGCAAAUCUUUUCCUAGUGUAGUCCGGAGAUCUAGCAGAUGCUAACCUGAUAGAAAUGAGUAGUUCAGACCACAGACUGCAGUUAAAUGGGCAAAUUUGUCCUUGCCAAAGGAAAUCUGAAGAGUUUACAUCGGCUCUUAACGCUGCUGAAUAUUCCCGCAAAAAAAAAAAAAACGCUGCUGAAUAUAGGGCGGAAUAGGACGGUUGGCUGUUCUAGGAGCCCCAAGGAUAGGAAAAGGUUUGACGGUUGCUCAGCACGCCAGUGAGAGCAACCGUGGACUGACAGAAAAACAUCUGACAUGAGAAGUUCUUCCAUAAGGAACAUCGUUACUUUGCCCGAAUGAGCUCUUCAUUCAACAUUUCCAAGUUUUUAAGAAAAGUGAAUAUCACCCGGCAGACGCUUGAAACGAGGAGCUACCACGACAACUACUUCACAUAUUAACGAUGUUACUACAUGGGGACCCAUAUUCUUGCUCAACCACAUGCAAGCCGCAAUGGCAGAUCCAAGAGCUGAAAAAAGAAAUAAAUCUGUUCUAGCUAAGCUACUGAGCCAACCAACAGGAUCCGUGAUAAGUUUCAGUAGUAACAUCAGGGAGGACAUACAAGAAGUGAUGAGUUCACCAAGAGCUACAUUGUUUCAGCGUUAUCAAGCACCAUUCCCGAGCAGAGGAGUUUUGAUCAGUGAUUCUUCAGUUCAGAUCAGCGGGCUUGGAAAGCACGAAUACCAUCAGCAGCAAGUUCUGGCUUAGAGACGAGAGCUGUAGAGUCCUGCAAAAUGGCAAGGCAUGUGUUAGGCUGCAGCAUUAGGCUUACAGUUUUGGUUAAUCCUUCUGGAGUCACUAGUUUCAGAAAUCUGGUAGCAAUCUGAUAGGAAAUAUAUCCCGUGAUUUAAAUAGCAGCAGAUAAAUAACAUGCUGGCAACAGAGUGGCAAAAGCUAUAUCAUUUCUAUAACAACCUCAACCUCGAGCAUUUUGUGAGCGCACUAUCCGUUGAUCACAUAAGUGCAGACCCAUCAUGCAAUUUACAAUUACGUAUGCAUCAUGUGUUUGAGUGAUGAAAAAUUCAGAGCAUGUCAUUUCAGCAUUUAACAAAGCUACAGGCCACAUUGCCUUCAGGUCAGAAACAAAGAAUGAACAGAUAAUUUUCUGUCAGAUAGGUAGCAAAAAAUGAAUCCUGGGGGAUCCCAAAAGCUAGUAGCUGGAGUAAAUGCGGCGAUUGGCUAAAUGUACAAAGGUAUAAUGCGAGGUAGGUACCUUUGGCAGUAAAGCCAUCUCCCCAUUCUCGAAGGAUGAUAAAACAGCACCAUGACUUUUAAGCCAAUCAACACUUCCGUCUACUGCAGCAAAACCUAAGAUUUUGGAUACGUAUUUAACAGGUAUCUUGGUUGCGUAGGCCUUUGCCAUACAUUUUAAACCUUCAAAUCUCAUCUUCUCAAAGCAGAGACCUAGAAAAUCGUAAGCAUGUUCACCAUUAACUACAAUUAGCAUAAAUGGUAACCAACGGUUGUUAUCAACAUAGUCUAAUAACCACAUAUCUGAUGACCAUUUGCAUAAGAAAGUCUAGGAAAGAUUUAACUUACACAUCAGGUAGCCAUUGAGGUUUGGAGCCACCUUGUAGAGUUUGAAAAAUGAUGCAUAGUUCCCUGUCUGUAUACUGUGAGCCACUUCUUUGGCAUGCUUCACAGUUUCUUGCUGUUUCAGGUCGCUUGACAGCCUAGGAAACAAAAUGAACAGUGUGGUCUUUAAUUAGUGGCAAAACAUUGGAGCAGUUAUUCAGAUUCGAUACCUUACUUGCAUAAUGCACGAGGGCUUUUGUGCAAAAGAUUAUUUAAGUUGCCAUAAGGUGCAGUGGCAGGUGACAUAUAAUGGCUGUCUGGUUGAGUUACAGGAGCCGGUCUUAUUUCUAGACAAUAAUACACCAGUAUGUUAUCUGAUUUUGAUGAAUGUUAAAAGAUCAGUUCACAACCACGGUUAACAGCAUUUAUUUGAGCAGGUUGUGUCUGUUUUGAAAACUCAACUAUGACACUAAUAGAACAAGGGUAUACAACAUAUCUAUUUAACUGUGCCAGUGAACCUAUCGAUGAUAUUUUUAACCGUACUAACCCUACUCUGUUUGCUUUUUAUGUCACAAUAAAAGGAAAAAUAUAUACCUUCCAAGUUUAGACAUCAGUUCAGUAUUUUUGUCUUGAAUCGCAGACAACAAUAUAUCAUAAGCUGCAAAUUCACCAUGAUGGCCACCAUUCCGCUUAUUCCCAUAGAGGCAGUGCAGCUUCGUGAGGCACUGAAAAUCCAAGAAGCGCGCAAGAGCAAUACCAUGAGAUAAGUGUGUGCAAAUAAUCACAUUACGUACAAAAAAAGGGGAGCUGUAGCAGGGCUAGAGAACAAUUUCACAUAAAGAACAUGUUUUCCCGAAUUCUAAUUCUGAUAAGCUUGAAGUUGCUGAUUAUAUAUGCAAAAAAGGUACCAAUUCUAACUCAUGUACAGCCACAAAUAGCUAAUGAUGCAUAGAAGACAAACAUAACAGAUUUGCCAUAUAUCUCAAACCAAGUAUUCUUUAAUAUAUCUCAAACCAAGCAUUCUUUAAUGUAUCUCAAGGAGUACUAACCAAGUUAAGUUCAGCCAUAUCUCGAUUGCACAACGCAAGUCUUGCAUGAUACUCAUAAACCUGAAAAGGUAGAAAAUGGUUGUAGAAGAGAAAAGAAUAUGUUAGAACAACAAUGUAGUCUGGUGCCACAAGUGAAAUAGGGAAAAUAUAAUUUGUGGGAAUAACCUGCACAGAAAGUUCAUCCUCUAUGUUCUGGAUAGUCAUAUCUUGACGAAUUGAUUUCAGUUGAUCUGUUCUAAAAUUGUAGUCUUUACUUGAGACCUGGACAAACUUCAGGGCUUCUACAAGUACAAGCUUUGGUCUUAUCUGAAAGACAGGAAAAGAGGUCAAUUGCUGUUUAGAAGUAGCAAAAGGAAAAUAAAAGUAUAUCAAAGGAAGAAAAGGAAUUCAGAGAAACAUGAGUAGUGGUUACUGCAUAACUACAGUAUUUGGCUCUGACAUUCAGAAAUUUGAACUUCACAAAUAAUAGUACUAAAUAAGAUAGGAAAUCCAUAGUAGUGGUUACUGUAUAACUACAGUAAUUUGACAUACUACAGCAGAAAUCAAUGGCUCAUAGCCAGAUUUGCACAAGAAUCAGUCAAUGAACAGUUCAUAUACAUAUACAGUCAAAAAACAGAUGUCAUACAUAGAUGAUCGAAGCUACAAAAUCUUUCCUACAUCUAAUAUAGCAGACAGACAUUAGUCAAGUUUGGGCUGUAGCAGAAAUUUUCUAUGCAGGAGAUAUACCAACGAUGCAAUUUGCAAGCAGCUAUUCAAUGGCUAAUGACUGAUGCUGAGCUACAACAUGGGAUCAAUAACACGGUCCGAUAAAAGAUGGACGGCAAGUGGGAUCUGGGAACUAUGAUUUCAAGGCAUCUUCUUUCAAAACACUCACACCAAUAGCAAUUCAACUGAAAGUUCACUGAAAGUCUUACCUUUGUUGCAUCUGGAGGCCCGGUGAGACGGAAGUAGCCUUUCUGUACAUCUGUGCACAUCCCUACAAUCAGACCAGAGGUGAUAGUCCCAUCUCCUUCAUCCACCGUAGCUUCUGGCUUGAUCUUUCCUUCACAAUUUGCAGCUUCCGGUCUGACCGCCCCAUUUGAAUCAUCAUGCUUAGAUUCCGAAGGACGCUGCGGCUCCUCGACUCCUGUCGACUUGAUAGCACCUGCCACUUGCUUCUCCGACAGCACUCCGCGCACAGGGCGGGGCAACCUCUUCCGGGGGAAUGCCUUGCGUCGGCUGCCGCCCGACGCUUCAGGCCCAGUACGCAGCGCAGGGAGUACCGAGCUCUGGUGUCCGCUGCCGCCCGACGCUUCAGGCUCGGUGCGCAGCGCAGGGAGUACCGAGCUCUGGCGAGGCGAUCGCUGGCGUCCGCUGCCGCCUGGCGGCCCAGUUUGCUGGAGCCCGCCCCUCCCGCGAAAGAACCGCCGUGGUGGGAAGCCCCCUCUGCCGCCCCCGAGAUUGUGUGGAGGCGGCGGGCCCAAAGGGUAGGGCUCCCCACGGUCUCCUGUCUCCAGGAACGAGCCCCCACGGUCUCCACGUGGCGAGCUCUGCUGCCCCAGUCUCUCCAUGGAGCGCUGCGUCCAGGGGUCAUGGCCGUCAGACCCCGGGAACAGAGCUCCCCGCCGGCGAUCCUGAGGAGACGGUGUCCAUCGCCUCUCGCCCUCCAAGAUUAUGGCAGGGGAGCGCUCGGGGAACAUGGCUCCAUGGGAGAAUCUUGGACGGGGUGUCGCCUCGAAGCCGUCGCCGCGGCCGCGCUCCACCGGGAAGGGGCCGGAGCGAUAGAACGUGUCAUCGCGGGACUGCACGUGACCGCGUCCCUCGUGGCGCCCUGGCGGCGACGAGCCACGCCGCCUGCGAUCAUCCAAAGCUGGUGUCCAAUCCCUUGGUCUUGAACUGGAGCACUGGUGCUCGUCCGCAAAGAAAGGCGAAUGCCCGCGAGGCAAAUCCCAGUCCAUUGGCGACCGCGGCAGGGAGCGGUUCGGUCGCCUGAAGUCAUCACCACGGCCGCGCUCGAAACGACUCUGCCCCGGGAAAGAAUCAGCGAGCUCCAAGAAUCUCGUAGGCGUACCGUAGUUGCCCUCGCGGCUGUACUCCGGCCAGUCAUGGUCCAAGAAUCCAUUGCCGAAGCUGUCAGCCUCCCUCUGGGGUCCCGAAGGCGGGGACACGCGCCAUGGCUCGAAUCUUGGCCGAGGGCCGUAGGGCUCCUCGCGGCUGUAAUCGAUGUAGCGCCGGAGACGAAGGGGACUAGGGGAGGCGAGGGUGGCCGCUCCAAGAAGGCCGCAGGAGGAGAAGGCGCGCCUGUCCAGGAGGGCGCGAAGUCCCGAGGGGGUGAGCGCCAGAGAUGGCGGUUUCUGUAGUUGGCCGGCGAUGCCUGGCGUUCCCUCUUGCGUGGUGGUGAUCGGCCUAAGCGCCGACGAGGAUCCAUUUGCUUGUGGUGGCUGGCGGGUUCUUGGGAAAGUGUGGAAGAGGACUUGAGAUUGGCUGAUCAGAAAAUUAGCCGUGAAGCGCCCUCGUAGGAACUCGGGCUUCUCGAGCCGUUAAGAUUUGCGGCUGCGUCUUUUUUUUUUUCCUUCUUCUUCUUCUGAAGUACCACUAUGUACCUAAAACCCUGCUUAGUAUGUUGGAUAUCCAAGCAUGAAAUUGCAAUACAAAAGGCUGACCUUGCAUACAUUCUGGAACGAGAUUGCGAACGGCUUGCCGAGAAGCCUUGAUUCGCCUUGAUGACAGCCGGUAUGAACUCUGAAGCCUGGUUUCCAAGUAGGAAGCGUAGCUCGUCAGAGACUGUCAUACGCCUACCUGACGGAGAUAUCCGCGGCAUAUGCAUGCUCUGACUGAAAACUUCGCCGAUGUUCCGCCCUGAAAUUGCCAGGAGCAGCCAAACUUUGAGAAGAAGAAUACAGAGUCAUGGCGGUUUAUAUUAAUUACAGAAGGCAUGAGGCCUGACGGCCAUGGAAAAGGAUGAGUUGUAGCUGUUGGAUAAUUAAUUAAUGUUGUCUGCAUAAGAUGAUCUUGCCGAUUUCAUGCCGGCGACAUAAACCCUACAGUCGAACAGCGGGUAUUUUUAUAGUUGGACUAUAUUCCCGCCAACUCUUCCGACACAAGGUCAGCACAAAGCCGUUCACUGAAAUGAACUCUGACUAGAGCCAGCUCCCAAAUUGGGAAUGUGGGAUCAGAAGAGAGUAGAGGUGGCUAUAGCCUAGAGAUCCCUAACCAAAGGUAAUGACCUCAAGGCGACGAUCCUCCGCAACUAUGCCUUGCAGAUUCUGUCAAACCGGUAGUUAUGUAGAUGAUGCGUUAUUUGAAAUGUAGUAAGGUCCAAAUUAUUCUAUGGUCUAGGAAAAUACACACCAUAUCCAGCAAAGUUAAGGAGACCGGCCUGCGAAAUUUUAUGGCAACUUCUAUUCUUGUUACUCUUACUCUACACAAACAAGUUAAGUAGUUGUAAUGCACGUGAUAUAUCGCGUGUAUUCACACCAGCUCAACUGACUACUCUAGCUUACAGAACCUAUAGGAAUCGCGAUACAUCAACUAGCAACGACAUGGCAACAAAAUCAACUGACUUAAGUUCAUAGAACUUGAGCCAUUAGUGCCGUUGGACAAGGCUGCAAGUCUACAAGAAGCAAAAGUUAGCAAGACAGUAAUCAGCCCGGGAGCAAGUUCUGUUCAGUAGUUCACUACAACAUUGCAACUGAAGCAACUAUGAACUACCAAAGCGAGCCAGCAACAGCAUGCUAAUUAAACAAGAUUAAAUUACAUGGGCAGGCAGGCUGGUGGUGGUGGUGGUACUAGCACCGGCAGUGUGUACAGACUAGUGGAAGGUCGGAUCCUAGACAUUGUCGCGAGGGAUGCGCCUCUGCCCUCUGGGAGAUUCUGUCGAGCGCGUGGCGUGCCCGGGCUUGCGCAAGUCGCUUGCUCUGAGUCCCGCCUGUUCGCCUUGUCCCGAGCGGCGGAGCCGCCGCGGCCGCGGCCGCCUGCUUCGGCCGCGAGUCUAUGGCUUUGGGAUGCCACCAUUAGUUUUUUUUAAGGGAAGAUGCCACCUUUUUUUGAGAUUAUAAGGGACUUUUACUCGAUCGUAAACUAAUACUCCCUGCGUCCCAAAAUAACUUUCUUAAGUUUAGUAUACAAUUUUGUACUAAACCUAAUACAAAGUUAAGACACUUAUUUUGAAACAAAUGAGUAUAAGAUUGUUUAAGGGUUGUUUGGAUAAGGAGAAUAUACAAAACACGAUCUCUAUAAAUAGGAAACGGUUCUAACAAUCAUGUCUUUUACGAUACCCAAAUUCUUUAAAGUGCACGCGCACUAUUUUGGCAAAACGAGCAGCCUGGCUCACAACACAUGCAUGCACUUAAUUUCUUUUGUCUGCUAGUGCAUGUGACCGUGGCAUUAAAUGCGUCACAGUGCUCCUUUAGUAUGGAACAGAUAGAUUCAUGUACAUUCAUUUUGGGUUCUUAAAAAUUCAAAAAAGCAUAUCUUUUCAACCACGUGUUUUGAAUUCAAAUUUGUUUUCACUGUUGAAAUCUUCACGACGAGAUCUUUCAAACUAGAUCCCGCAUGAGUAUUUUUUGACGAAAUUUUUUCGAUGCCAACUUUAGGGGCUAUAUUGUGCAACAUUUAGUAUUGAUGAUGCAACUUUUUUCAAAAUCAAUUUUAGAGCUGUACGAUCCAACCACUGAUGAGGCUAUAACAUAGCAACUAACAACCGACUUUUGUGAUGCGCAACUAGUCUACUGUCCCAGUCAACUAUCUAGUAGUAGAUGUGCAACCCUCUCCUACCUACUUAUGGAUGCCUACUGUUGGCACAUCCUGCCCCACCUUCCCUACCAGCGAUAUGUGCAACUUAGUAUGUUGUUCAAGCCAACUAUCUAUUAGUCAAUGUGCAACUCUUUCCCCUCCCUACUUGUGGAUAUGCAAUUUUGGUUGGUGGGGGCAACAAACGGAGUUGCAUAUAGUCUUCUAGGCAGUUGGCCAGGUAAACAUACGAAGUUGCACAUCUCACAGGCAAGGAAUAGUUGGAUGGUGAAAAUUCCACAUUCACGAGGAUAGUGAAAAGUUGCAUAUAGACAAGGCGCUAAAGUUGCAAAUCUUACUAGCAAGGGUGGUUCGAACCGGUUGCUAGAAGGGAAAAUUACACAUACAUGGGGUACGAUGAAAAGUUGCACAUCACUGCUAGAUAGUUGGCCGUUGCAGUAUCCAAAGUUGUACAUCCAGUACUAGAAAGUUGGCAAAUGCAACAAACAGUGAAAGCACAUCCAUGGAAAAGGAAAAAGUUGCACAUCAAUUACUAGGGAGUUGGCCUGAGCAAUAGACGAAGUUGCACAUCUCACUAGAAGGGGUAGUUCGAGAGGGUGGAGGUGACAUCAGUGAAAAUUGCACGUCCACGUGCAGUUUUUACUGAUGGCGCCUCCACCCCCAAAAGUACCCACUUGGAGUGAGAUGUGCAACUUUGUCUCUUGCCGAGGCCAACUGUCUAGUAGUUGACAUGCAACUUUUCUCCUACACGUGGAUGUGCUUUCACUAUUUACUGCAUCGGCCAACUGCCUAGCAGUAGAUGUGCAACCUCAUAUGCUGCGAUGGCCAAAUAUCUAACAAUGAUGUGCAACUUUCUCUUGUAUCACUCAUGGAUGUGCAACUUCGUGGGUUGCCCCGGCCAACUGCAUAGCAGACUAUGUGCAACUCCGUCUGUUGCCCCCGCCAACUAAAACUAAUACGUAUCCACAAGUAGGGAGGGGAAGGAGUUGCACAUCGACUAAUAGGCAGUUGGCGUGAACAACAGACUAAGUUGCACAUACCACUGGUAGGGGAAGUGGGGAAGGGUUGCACAUCGACUAUUAGGUAGUUGGCCGAGGUAGUAGACUAGUUGCACGUCAUAAAAAGUUGGUUGUCAUGGUUUCUUUGUUGCAAUACCAUAAAAAUUGGACCAUGCAGCUGCAAACUUGGUUUUCAAAAAAGUUGCACAAUCCGGUACUAAAGUUGCACCAUGUAGUAAUAGAGUUGCACAAUAUAGCAUCAAAGUUGGCAUCAAAAAAAUUUCGUCAAAACAUACCCAUGCGGGAUCUAGUUUCAAAGAUCUCGUCGCGAGAAUUCCAAUAGUGAAAAUGGAUCUAAAUUCCAAAGCACAGUUUAAAAGAUAUGACUUUUUAAAAAUUUGGAAACCCGAAUAAAUGGACAUACACAUCCAUGGAAUAAUGCGGUGUCUUGUCCAUGUGACCAUCCUAAUAGUAUAUGCCACAUCACGAAUAAAGAUAAAAUUUAGACCAUAAAACUAUUUCCUCUAAUUGGUGUGUACACACUUUUUAGAAUUUAGGUAAAAAAAGAUGCAGCCGAUGCAUGUGGACCAUUUAAUAUGCAUUUCAGUUGGAUAUUUUCUGUUUAACUAGUUGGGACCAGAGGAAUCUUUCCUAAUCAGGACAAGGGGACAAACACUUUCUAUUGAUAAUCGGCUGUUGUGAAGCGCUAGGGAGCCAACGGAUGCUGGCUAGACUCGUCCUUUACAAUAAUGUUAUUUUCAAUACGAAAUAUGUAAAUGGCGAACGAACUAGUUUUCGUUUCAGAUACGAACACGUUCGUUGUCGUCGAUAUUUAGAUCAUGCGAUUGCGUGCGCUCCUCAUUUGUUUCUCUCCCACGGAUUUCAUGCUCGCUCCCGAUGAUUUCGCUUGCUAUCAUAUUUCUUUUUGAUGAAAUGUACCGAGUGCUAUGUUUCAUUUAUUAAGAGAGGAACUAGCAGAGUCGGGAAAUUACAAGGGGAUAUUGGGAAGAGAAGGAACACACACUGAGAACAAUAUAAGAGUUAAAUGUUGGGAAACAUUGCAUGGAAAAUAAAAAAAAAUUCUACGCACACACAAUGAUCUAUCUAUUAAGAUGCAUAGCAACGAGGGGAAGAGUGUGUUUACAUACCCUCAUAGACCGUAAGCUAAAGUAUUUCUCAACGCAGUUGAUGUAGUCGAACUUCUUCGUGCUUCAACUGGUCAAGUACCGAAUGCACGACACCUUCGUGUUCUGCACACGUUCAGCUCAGUGACGUUCCUCACCUUUUUGAUCCAGCAAGUUUUCGAAGUAGUAGAUGAGUUCCGUCAGCACGAUGGCGUGGUGACGGUGAUGAUGAAGUGACCCUCACAGGGCUUCACCUAAGUACUACGAAGAUAUAACCGUGGGAAUAAACGAUGAAGGGGGGCGCCGCACACCGCUAACAAUUGUCUAUUGUGUGCUAGGCGCCCCCCUUCCCACACACACACACACACANNNNNNNNNNNNNNNNNNNNNNNNNNNNNNNNNNNNNNNNNNNNNNNNNNNNNNNNNNNNNNNNNNNNNNNNNNNNNNNNNNNNNNNNNNNNNNNNNNNNNNNNNNNNNNNNNNNNNNNNNNNNNNNNNNNNNNNNNNNNNNNNNNNNNNNNNNNNNNNNNNNNNNNNNNNNNNNNNNNNNNNNNNNNNNNNNNNNNNAGGUGGGAGUGAGGGAAGAGCAGCCAAAGGAGGCGCCCAAGUAGGAGGAAUCCUACUUGGGGUCCCUCCCAAGCCACAACCCACUCUUUCCUUAUUUGAAGUGCGGGGAAUGUGGUGCCCCCCUUUUUCUUUCUCCCAUGAGAGGGAAAGGCAGGACGAGCUAGCCCUCCCCCUUUUCCUUCCCUAGGGGUGGCUAAACAAGGGAGAGGGUGCACCAACCUCUUUGUGGGCUGGGCUAUCCCCUCAUUUGGCCUAUAAGGCCCAUAUCUUGCCGGGGGGGGGGGGUGGUGGUGGCCGGAACCCCUUCCGGUGACCCGAUUCCUUCCCGAUACAUCCCGAAACACUUCUAGUGUCUAAAUACCAUCGUUCUAUAUAUCAAUAUUUACCUCUCGACCAUUUCGAGACUCCUCGUCAUGUUUGUGUUCUCAUCCGAGACUCCGAACAACAUUCGGUCACCAAAACAUAUAACUCAUAUAACACUAUAUCGUCAACGAACAUUAAGCGUGCGGACCCUACGGGCUCGAGAACUAUGUAGACAUGACCGAGACACCUCUCCGGUCAAUAACCAAUAGCGGAACCUGGAUGCCCAUAUUGGCUCCUACAUAUUCUACGAAGUGUUGGGGAACAUAGUCUAUACCUACUAUUAAAAGGAGGUGAUAUUCUUGGUUUCUUCCCGCUUCGUUUGGUCCUGCUUCAAUGAAUUUCACGUAAGCUAUUUGGUUUCAUUACUUGCCAUACAUUUUGGCCCAACAGAGGAAGCCCAUCUGGCGGCGCACUGUGGGCCAGCUCGGAGAAAAAUAAAAUUGUCGAGUCAUAACCUGCCAACCGGUCACGCAUAGUUUGUCCAACUGACCCAGCUAAAGAUAUGACUGGAUUUAUUUUUCUCCCGUUGCAACGCACGAGUCUUUUUGCUAGUAAUUUCAAAAAAAAUCCUACGCACACACAGGAUCAUGGUGGUGCAUAGCAACGAGAGGGGAGAGUGUGUCUACGUACCCUCGUAGACCGUAUGCGGAAGCGUUGGCACAACGCGGUUGAUGUAGUCGUACGUCUUCACGAUCCGACUGCUCUAAGUACCGAACGUACGAUGCCUCUGAGUUCUGCACAUGUUCAACUCGAUGACGUCCCACGAGCUCCGAUCCAGCAAAGCUUCACAUGAGAGUUUCAUCAGCACAACGGCGUGGUGACGGUGACGAUGAUGCUACCGACGCAGGGCUUCUCCUAAGCACCGCUACGAUAUGAUCGAGGUGGAUUAUGGUGGAGGGGGGCACCGCACAUGGCUGGGAGAGAUCAACAGAUCAACUUGUGUGUCUAUGGGGUGCCCCUGCCCCCGUAUAUAAAGGAGCAAGGGGAGGAGGCAGCCGACCAGGGAGAGGCGUGCCAAGAGGGGGAGUCCUACUCCCACUAGGUGUAGGACUCCUCCUUUUCCUAGUAGGAGUAGGAGAGGGGGAAGGAAAGGGAGAGGAGGAGAAGGAGAGAGGGGGCCGGCCACUUCACACAAUACAUAAAUAUAUCAUACAUCAUCCAGAAUACAAUCAAGGUGCGACUACGGAACCAACAUAAAUAAAGACAACCCCAAAUGCUAGAUCCUCGAUCGCCCCAAUUGGGCUCCCCUAUUGAUCAUCCGAAAAAGAAACAUAAUAACGACAUGAAUCCUCGUCGAACUCCCACUUGAGUUCGGUAGCAUCCCCUGCACUGGCAUCAUCGGCACCUACAUCUGUUUGGAAGUAUCUGUGAGGCACGGGGACUCAGCAAUUUUACACCCUCGCGAUCAAAACAGCUUAUGGGUAGGAAAGGUAGUGAGGUGGAGCUGCAGCAAGCACUAGCAUGUAUGGUGGCUAAAUUACGCAAAAGAGAGUGAGACGAGAAGCAAAGCACGACCGAGAAGCUAAAAUGAUCAAGAAUGAUCCUGAAACUACUUACGUUCAAGAAUAACACGAGACCGUGUUCUCUUCCCGGACUCUGCCGAAAAGAGACCAUCACGGCUACACACGCGGUUGAUUCAUUUUAAUUAGAUUAAGUGUCAAGUUUUCUACAACCGGACAUUAACAAAUUCCCAUCUGCCCAUAACCGCGGGCACGACUUUCGAAAGUUCAAACCCUGCAGGGUUGUCCCAACUUAGCCCAUCACAAGCUCUCAUGGUCAACGAAGGAUAUUCCUUCUCCCAGGAAGACCCGAUCAGACUCGGAAUCCCGGUUACAAGACAUUUCGACAAUGGUAAAACAAGACCACUAAAGCCACCCGAUGUGCCGACAAAUCCCGAUAGGAGUCGCACAUAUCUCGUUCUCAGGGCACAGCGGAUGGGCAAGACGCCGGGUUGGCAUAAACCCUGGUUGCCCAGGGGGCGCCAGACAUCACCCAGUUUGGACCAACACUCGGAGGAGCACUGGCCCGGGGGGUUAAAAUAAAGAUGACCCUUGAGUCCGCGGAACCGAAGGGAAAAAGGCUUAGGUGGCCAAUAGUAAAACCAAGGUUGGGCCUUGCUGGAGGAGUUAUUCAAGGCGAACUGUCAAGGGGUUCCCAUAACACCCAACCGCGCAAGGAACGCAAAAUCAAGGAACAUAACACCGGUAUGAUGGAAACUAGGGCGGCAAGAGUGGAACAAAACACCAGGCAUAAGGCCGAGCCUUCCACCCUUUACCAAGUAUAUAGAUGCAUUAAAGUAAACAAGAUAUAAUAAUGAUAUCCCAAAAAUAUCCAUGUUCCAACAUGGAACAAAUUUCAUCUUCACCUGCAACUAGCAACGCUAUAAGAGGGGCUGAGCAAAGCGGUAACAUAGCCAAACAACGGUUUGCUAGGAAAGGUGGGUUAGAGGCUUGACAUGGCAAUAUGGGAGGCAUGAUAAAGCAAGUGGUAGGCAUCGCGGCAUAGCAAUAGAGUGAACAACUAGCAAGCAAAGAUAGAAGUGAUUUCGAGGGUAUGGUCAUCUUGCCUGCAAAGUUCUCCGAGUUGACGAAAACUUGAUCCUCGUAAACGUACUCAACGGGUUCCUCGAUCACGCACUCGUCUCCCGGCUCUACCCAAGGCAAGAGCACAAGCAAAGGAAACAACAAUCAACCACGGUGCAAUGCGCAAGCAACAUGACGCAAAACAUGGCAUGAUAUGCGGGAUGUGAUAUGCAAUGCAUAUGCGUGCUCCGGAAGGGAAAGAUUGAACAAGUGAAAGUGCAACUAUCCCUGGGUGGUUUUGGUAAUUCCUAACAACAUAUAGCUCAUUGAGCUAACAUUAUUCCAAGAUUAAUAUUUCAGGAAAAGCUCAAUGAAUGGCAUGGCAUGGAUGAGGAAAGGGGAUCCCUCAAAAUUCUAAGGACAAAAAGUUUGGCUCAAGCUUGAAGCUCAAGACUCUACAUUUUAUAUUUUAGUGAUCCAAGAUCACAUUGAGUCUAUAGGAAAAGCCAAUACUAUCAAGGAGGGAUGAGGUGUUGCUUAAUGGCUUGCUUGCUCAAAAUGCUUAGUGAUAUGCUCCAAAAUCCUCAACUACCUUCCCACAUCCACAUAUGACCUAAACCAAAAGUCAAACUCGGCCCCACUGAUCCUUUCUAUCUAGCGCCACCGAGUUUUCAAAUGUCAUAGCCACUGCCACAAACCCUAGGCAAAUCGGUCUCACCGAUAGGGAUCUCGGUCUCACCGAGAUGGGAUUUAAUCUCUCUGUUUCCCUUUGUAACGUUUUGGUCUUACCGAGAUGAGCGAUCGGUCCCACCGAGAUUGCAAUGUAAACUCUCUGUUUCCCUUUUGUAACAUUUCGGUCUCACCGAGAUGAGCGAAUCGGUCCCACCGAGUUUACCUGACCAACUCUCUGGUUAGCUUAUUACCAAAAUCGGUCCCACCGAGUUUGUUUAAUCGGUCACACCGAGAUUACGUUAUGCCCUAACCCUAACCAUAUCGGUCCUACCGAGUUGCAUCUCAGUCCCACCGAAAAUCCUAACGGUCACUAGGUUUGCUGAAUCGGUCCGACCGAGUUUAACCAUUCGGUCCCACCGAGUUUGGCAAAUUGUGUGUAACGGUUAGAUUUUGUGUGGAGGCUAUAUAUACCCCUCCACCCACUCUUCAUUCGUGGAGAGAGCCAUCAGAACAUACCUACACUUCCAAUACACAUUUUCUGAGAGAGAACCACCUACACUUGUGUUGAGGUCAAGAUAUUCCAUUCCAACCAUAUGAAUCUUGAUCUCUAGCCUUCCCCAAGUUGCUUUCCACUCAAAUCUUCUUUCCACCAAAUCCAAAUCCUGUGAGAGAGAGUUGAGUGUUGGGGAGACUAUCAUUUGAAGCACAAGAGCAAGGAGUUCAUCAUCAACACACCAUUUGUUACUUCUUGGAGAGUGGUGUCUCCUAGAUUGGCUAGGUGUCACUUGGAAGCCUCCGACAAGAUUGUGGAGUUGAACCAAGGAGUUUGUAAGGGCAAGGAGAUCGCCUACUUCAUGAAGAUCUACCGCUAGUGAGGCAAGUCCUUCGUGGGCGACGGCCGUGAUGGAAUAGACAAGGUUGCUUCUUCGUGGACCCUUCGUGGGUGGUGCCCUCCGUGGACUCACGCAACUGUUACCCUCCGUGGGUUGAAGUCUCCAUCAACGUGGAUGUACGAUAGCACCACCUAUCGGGACCACGACAAAAACAUCCGUGUCUCCAAUUGUGUUUGAAUCCUCCAAACCCUUCCCUUUACAUUCUUGCAAGUUGCAUGCUUUACUUUCCGCUGCUCAUAUACUCUUUUGCAUGCUUGCUUGAAUUGUGUGGAGAUUGCUUGACUUGUGCUAAGAUAGCUAAAAUCUGCCAAGAACUAAAAUUGGGAAAAGGCUAGAUUUUUAUUUGGUCAAGUAGUCUAAUCACCCCCCCUCUAGACAUACUUUCGAUCCUACAAGUGGUAUCAGAGCUUUGGUCUCCAUUUGCUUUGAUUUCCAUAGCUUUUGGCGGUCAUAGCCUUGGUUUCACAACCUAGGAGAGUAUGGCGUCUAGAGAGGGAAAUUAUCACCAUAGAGGUCCUUACUUUGAUGGCACUAAUUUUGCUAGUUGGAAGCAUAAGAUGAAAAUGCAUAUUCUCGGACAUAACCCCGCCGUUUGGGCUAUUGUGUGUAUUGGCUUGCAAGGUGAAUUCUUUGACGGGAAAGAUCCGAACCGUGAAGCCACCGCGGAAGAGUUGAAAAUGCUGCAAUACAACGCUCAAGCUUGUGAUAUCCUCUUCAAUGGAUUGUGCCCCGAAGAAUUCAACAAAAUUAGCCGUCUUGAGAAUGCAAAGGAAAUUCGGGAUACUUUGAUUGAUAUGCACGAAGGUGCCGACUCCGUCAAGGAAUCCAAAUUGGAUGUGCUUCAAAGUCAACUUGACAAGUUCAAAAUGAAGGAUGGUGAAGGUGUCGCUGAAAUGUACUCUAGGCUUGCUCUUAUCACAAAUGAGAUUGCCGACUUAGGGAGUGAAGAGAUGACCGAUAGAUUCAUCAUCAAGAGGAUCCUAAGAGCCUUGGAUGGAAAAUAUGAUACCGUGUGCACAUUGAUCCAAAUGAUGCCAAAUUACAAAGAUCUCAAGCCAACGGAAGUCAUCGAAAGAAUUGUUGCUCAUGAGAUGUCACUCAAGGAUAAAGAGGAACUUCACAACAAAUCAAGUGGUGUUUACAAAGCCUCAUGUGAAGCCCCCACGUCAUCGAGUGAGAAACAAACCUUCAAUGAAGAAUUGAGCUUAAUGGUGAAGAACUUCAAUAAUUUCUACAAGAGUAGAAGCAAAGAGAGAAGCUCCAAGUCAAGGUCCUACAAUGACAAAAGAUCUUCUAGUCGAGAGCGAAACUGCUACAAUUGUGGAAGGCCCAGACACUAUUCCAAUGAGUGUACGACCCCCUACAAGAGAAGAGAAGAUUCUCCCAAGAGAAGAAGUAGAAGAGAAGAAUCACCAUCUAGAGAAAGAAGGAGUAGAGAUGAUCGUUAUGAACGAAGACCCUCACAAAGAAGAAAGGAUUUGGAAAGAAAGGACAAGUCAUCAAGGAGCUACACAAAACGAAGACAUCAAGCUCAUGUUGGUGAAUGGGUAUCCGGCUCCGACUCCGACAGCCACUCUGAGAGAAGCUAUCACUCCGACUCCGAAUAUACUCAAGAUGAAGGUGUUGCCGGUCUAGCACUUGUGACAACCAACUCCUACGACAUAUUUGACUCACCAAAUGAAGGAGUUGGAACAUGCUUCAUGGCUAAAGGCCCAAAGGUAUCACACCCCGAGUAUGUUGAUUUCAAUAGUGAUGAAGAUGACUUGUUAGGUGAUGAUGAUUUACUUGUUGACAACUCUAGUGAUGAAUAUUGUGAUGAAACGUCAAUUAAUCAUGCUAAUCAAGAUAAAACGAAUGACAAUGAUAAGGAGAAGAUUGAGUCUCUAACUAAAGAACUAAACACUCUUAAGUUAUCUCAUGAAACUAUCUUAGGAGAUCAUCGAGAACUUUUAAGGACUCAUGAGAAAUUACGCUUUGAAAAUCUCAACCUUGAGCAAGAGCAUGAGUUCUUAAAAGCAAUCAAUGAUGAUCUUCGUAAGAAAAGUUCUUCUUACAUUGCCAAGCGUUUACUCUUAUCCACUUACAUGCCUCAAAUCAAGUCUAGUAACAAGAACAGGAAAGAUUCUUCCUCUAGUAGUAACAAUAAUCAUGCUAAAUCCAAUAUUGUUGCUUCUAGUAGUUCUCUUGAUUCCACUAAUGAUUCUCUUAGCCAAGUUACACUUGAGCAAGAAAAUAGCUUAUUGAAGGGAAUUAUAGAGAAAGGUGUUUACAAGAGCCUUGCCGGAAGUAAGCAAUUCGAGGAAAUUGUACGCAAGCAAGGAAGGCACCGGAAGAAUCAAGGUGUUGGUUUUGAACGAAAGUUCAAUGCCAAUGGAGUUGAGUGGGAAGAAGAUCAAUACCCCAAGACGAAGUUUGUUCCUCAACAAGAGAAGUAUGAUCCUACUUCUUUCAAAGGGACACAAGCUCAAGAUGAUCUUCCACCACAAGACCACAAGCAAAAAGGCAAGGACAAGCUUCAAGAGGAAAUUGAUGCAUUUGAAGAAGCUCCUAAGGCCUUGGUCAAGUGGGUUCCCAAGACUACUUCAAGUUCCACUUUAUCAAGUACAACUACAACACCGAGGAUUCCCAUCAAGAUGGUGUGGAUCCCGAAGAAGAAGAAUUAGAGAGUUCUUGAGGGUGACUCCGCCAACAUACUUCACUCUUAUCAUCUUGGCAAGAACAAGUGCAAUCAACUUCCACAUCUUGCACUAGUUCAAGGAGUCACAAACCCUCUUGUUGGUAAGACAAGGGACAAGGUAACCUAAAAGCUUUCAUAGACAUCAUCUUGUGUGCGCAUCACUUUAUGUCUAUGGAUAUCCUUGUUUGUUCCUUGUGGGACUAACCCGUGUAGGUAUUGAAAUUGCAACUCACUCCAAUGGAUAGCUUCAAAUGAUCUACAUCAACAUUGAGCAUCCACAUCUUCAACAUCUACAUGAAGUCAUCAUCGACAAAACCCAAGGUUAGUUCAUCCCUCUUAGGGGGGAUCUCACAUCUAGGGGGAGCUUUACUCUAAGAAUUGAGCUAAAGCAACUCUAAUGGUGUGAACACAACAAUGCUUUAUGUAAAAGUGGUAGCCCCACUUGUGCUUAAACGAUGAGUAUGACCUAUGAUCAAAUGUUCUCAUUUGACUCCUAAGUCAAUAUACUCAUAUAUAGAUGACCUAGUCAUCGCAAAUUGUUUGAUAGAUGCUAGAAUUGGUUGUGCAUGCUUUGCCACAUAUUUAAAUUGCCAUUUUAUUGUGUGAGCAUGUUGAUUGCAUAUUUUACUCAUUCGAGGACAUCCACUUGUUGUUUUGAUUGAUUGGUUUUCUUCUCUUUUGCCAAGUGGAUGGACAAGAAUGCCUAAGAACCCUCUCUAGCUAUCUAUGAUUUUCUCGUCUCAAACUCUAUUCAUGCUACAUCACAAAAUUUGAUCAAGUCAUAUUCGAACCACUCUGUGUGAGGAGCACUCGGAGUCCCCGUUUCGUCAUAGACUUAAACUUCCAAAACUUCUUUGUGCGUUUUGGUCUGACCGAUUCAUUCAUUUCGGUCAUACCGAGAUCACUAAGUCGAUCUAGGUUUUCAAUCUCGGUGCAACCGAUUUGAACCUUUCGGUCACACCGAGUUUCAGUAACUGAUUGCAGUUAUGAAUCUCGGUGCCACCGAGUUGUUCCACUCGGUCACACCGACAGGGUCGGGCUAUAUAUACCCACGGGUCAAAUUUUGGAAAACUUUCCGAACCUCCUCGACCCGCGCUUAGCCCGCUCUGCCUCCAGGGUCUCCGGAUCGUCUUCCUCGUCGCCAGUCGCCUCCUGCUGCUGGUCUCCACCGCCGUCAACGGGAAUCAUCCCCGCCGUUGCCGCUGUAGCGAGUUCAUCGCCGAACUAGGGUAUGAACUCGAUCACUGUGCUAUCCCUAUCUGAUUCCUAGCACAUUGUGUUCACCAUGUAUCUUGCCACGAUUGAGAUCAUUCUUAUCCAGUCAAAACACUCCGUAGUUUAGUUGUGAAUUGAAAAUUUAGGGUUAGGUUUCCGCCGAAACCAUCUCGGACCCACCGAGUUUGUGGAACUCGGUACCAUCGAUUCAGCUCAGGCCAUUGCACAUGUAAUUUUUGGUCUGACCGAGAAUUGCAAAUCGGCGUGACCGAGUUCAGGACUUUGUGAAACCCUAGCAGUCUCGGUGCCACCGAACUGUGACUCGUUCUGACCGAGUUCACUAGUUUAGGUUCCAACAGCUGCUUCGGUAUCACCGAAUUUACAAAUCGGUUGAUCCGAAAUGCUUUCUGUGGAAAACUAAAACUAAGUUUUUGACUCAUUCUUUUGCAAAAACCUCUGCAUUUUGUGAUGCUCAUCCACUCUAUCUCAUCUAUAUCUAUUCACAGGGUCUGCUGUCAGUGUUUGCAAUAUGUCUGAUCAGAGUGACAACCAGAAUAGGUCAGAUGAGCAGGUUCACCUGAGUGAGGGCACUAGUCCCUCUAGCAGUUCAGAUGAUGGUAGCAGGAGCACCCCAAGAAACUUACCCAAAGCUGCCACCAGGGCCAGAAAGAAGAAGACCUUUGAAUCUGAGGAUGAAGACUAUGUGGCAGUUGAGGAUGAGGCCACUUCCAAGAAGAAAGUGGUUAAGAAGGAAUAUAGCACUAUUGCUGCCACCAAGCCAGGCAUGAAGCAAAAGGUUCCUGCAAAGAGAAUUCCAAUGUCUAAGGCCAGAUCAUCUACUCAAGUCCCUUUGGGAUCUGAACCCAAAGAGGCUGCUGCAGAAGGGAAGAAGAGGAAGGUGAGGAUCAAAAAGACCACUGCUAGAGUGCUUGGGAGAUCCUCAACCAUGAGAGAUUCUAAAGAGGAAGAGGAAGAAGAGGUUGCUGCACCAGCACCCAAGGCACAAAAGCUGAUGGGUGAUGUUAUAAAGUCAGAGGCUGCAACAUCAAAGCCCAAAGAAGCACCCAAAGCAGCCUCCAAGCCCAAGAGUGCACCUAAGAGGAAUACCAGGAAUAUACCAGCUGUUGAGAAGAAUAAGGCCCCAAUGCCUGAAGUUGCUGCAGAUGAAGAUGAUGAAGGACAAGUCCUGAGGAAGCUCAAACCCAAAAUCCCAGAUCACAAUGAUGCUCAUCCAGUAGCUGAGAACAUGAAGAUAAGGAAGGACUCGGGUCUGAGGCUAUGGAGAGUGUCAGAUCCAUAUGCCACCAGGAGAAGGACUGCUAUUGAUUACAGGUUCCACACAAAGGAACAACAGGACUUCUAUGAGACAGUGUUGCUUGACAAGAAGCCCAUAAUGUGUGACAUGAGAUGGGUCGACUGGGACUACAUCAAGGAGAAUGAGGAUCACUAUCCAGGUGUACAUGAUAGUUUCAAGGCUUGUGGAGUCGAUGAGUUUGUGGCUCAGAAGCUCACAAAAUGGAAUGAUGAGCUCAUCAUGCAGUUCUACUCCACAGCUCAUUUCUACCCAGAUGGAAGGAUUGUAUGGACGUCUGAAGGUACGAGGUACUAGUCCACGGUUGCUGAAUGGGCGAAGUUGAUCAAUGCCCCAAAAGAGAGUGAAGAUGACUUGGAUGUCUAUGCCAACAUGAAGAAGGAUUACAACACAAUGGCACACAUGUACAAAGAGAUCCCAGAUGCUGCUCUUGAGACACAUAAGUUUGGAUCUGUACAUUACCUUCUGUCAGGAUUGCCAACCAUCAACUGGAUCCUCAGGCACACUCUCUUGCCAAAGUCAGGUGAUCACAAGAUGAUCAGAGGCCAUGCAAUUAACUUGCUUCACAUCUUUGAUGUCCCACAGAAACUCAAAGUCAUGAGCCUAAUAGUUGAAACUAUCAAGAGGACAGCUGCAGAUCAGAAGAGGAGUUGUGGGUAUGCCCCACAGAUCCAGGAGCUAAUCAACUCCAAGAUGGGCACUGGUACAUAUCUGCUGGACAAGGAGCACAUGCCUAUCUAUCCAGACUUCAAGGACAACAUUGUGGUUAUGAAUAAGGAUGAACCAUCUUCUGUGCACACACAAGCCAAGAAGGAGAAGGCAAAAGCUGAAAAGGCUGCAAGGAUGCCAACUACUGAAGAAGCAUCUCAGUAUCUCCUGAAGAGCAAGCAAGAUAAGCUUGGCUACCUGAUUGCAUCCACUCUGAGGAUUGAGAAGGGACUGGCCACCCUGACUCAAAACCAGGAGAGCUUGGAAAGAAUCGUGGAGCAAAAAUUCUAUGACUUGGAUGUGAAGGUAACUGAGAUUCAGUCUGUUGUGGAGCAACUUCAAGAUGAUAUGCAGGAGAGAAAGGGCAAUACAACCACUGAUGCAUUUGCCAGAGUGCCUAGAGCUCAGAUGUCUGCUGCAGUGCCUGUUCCAUACACCAGAGCCACUUCAUCUGCACUAGCUACAGCUUCAGCGCAACCAGCUCCAGCACCAACUCCUUCAGCUCCAUCCACAUCAACUGAAGUCUUCAUCCAAGGAGCCAUCUCUACGCCACCACCUGAAGACCAAGCUUGAGAGACGUUUUAGUGCUAUGCAUUUUCUAUGAACUUUUUGGUAAGUUGUUGCCAAAGGGGGAGAAACUGUAUAGAUCAUAGGCUUCGAGAGAGAGAGCGUUGCUUUUUAUUCUCUCUUGCUUUGAUGGUUGAACUUUGUUUGUCUGUUGGUUGCUUGAGAUACUAUGCUAUUAUCUGUGAGACAUUGAUGAUCAUGUGGUUGAUCAUAAGCUACACUUAUGCUUGUUAGAUGACAUUAUCUUACUUAUCCUUAUAUGAUCAUUCACUUUGCUUGGUGAUGAGUGCAUGUAUUCAAUCUUUAUUAUUUUGAGCGCUCCACCAAGAUGUAUGUGACAUGGAAGAGUAACCCAUGAUCCUAACUCAUUGUGCAUUUGCAGUCCAAAGCAAAUCUUAAGAUAUGCACAAAUUUAGGGGGAGCUCUUGCUUUUCACAUACUUCUCAAAGCGACAAUAUCUUUCACUCUUAUUAUCAUUUGUCGAAGCUUUGAUCUAUAUGUUGUCAUUAGUUACCAAAAAGGGGGAGAUUGAAAGUGCAACUAUCCUUGGGUGGUUUUGGUAAUUCCUAACAACAUAUAGCUCAUUGAGCUAACAUUAUUCCAAGAUUAAUAUUUCAGGAAAAACUCAAUGAAUGGCAUGGCAUGGAUGAGGAAAGUGGAUCCCUCAAAAUUCUAAGGACAAAAAGUUUGGCUCAAGCUUGAAGCUCAAGACUCUACAUUUUAUAUUUUAGUGAUCCAAGAUCACAUUGAGUCUAUAGGAAAAGCCAAUACUAUCAAGGAGGGAUGAGGUGUUGCUUAAUGGCUUGCUUGCUCAAAAUGCUUAGUGAUAUGCUCCAAAAUCCUCAACUACCUUCCCACAUCCACAUAUGACCUAAACCAAAAGUCAAACUCGGCCCCACUGAUCCUUUCUAUCCGGCGCCACCGAGUUUCAAAUGUCAUAGCCACUGCCACAAACCCUAGGCAAAUCGGUCUCACCGAUAGGGAUCUCGGUCUCACCGAGAUGGGAUUGUAAUCUCUCUGUUUCCCUUCGUAAUGUUUCAGUCUUACCGAGAUGAGCGAUCGGUCCCACCGAGAUUGCAAUGUAAACUCUCUGUUUCCCUUUUGUAACAUUUCGGUCUCACCGAGAUGAGCGAAUCGGUCCCACCGAGUUUACCUGACCAACUCUCUGGUUAGCUUAUUACCAAAAUCAGUCCCACCGAGUUUGUGUAAUCGGUCACACCGAGAUUACGUUAUGCCCUAACCCUAACCAUAUCGGUCCUACCGAGUUGCAUCUCAGUCCCACCGAAAAUCCUAACGGUCACUAGGUUUGCUGAAUCGGUCCGACCGAGUUUAACCAUUCGGUCCCACCGAGUUUGGCAAAUUGUGUGUAACAGUUAGAUUUUGUGUGGAGGCUAUAUAUACCCCUCCACCCACUCUUCAUUCGUGGAGAGAGCCAUCAGAACAUACAUACACUUCCAAUACACAUUUUCUGAGAGAGAACCAUCUACACUUGUGUUGAGGUCAAGAUAUUCCAUUCCAACCAUAUGAAUCUUGAUCUCUAGCCUUCCCCAAGUUGCUUUCCACUCAAAUCUUCUUUCCACCAAAUCCAAAUCCUGUGAGAGAGAGUUGAGUGUUGGGGAAACUAUCAUUUGAAGCACAAGAGCAAGGAGUUCAUCAUCAACACACCAUUUGUUACUUCUUGGAGAGUGGUGUCUCCUAGAUUGGCUAGGUGUCACUUGGGAGCCUCCGACAAGAUUGUGGAGUUGAACCAAGGAGUUUGUAAGGGCAAGGAGAUCGCCUACUUCGUGAAGAUCUACUGCUAGUGAGGCAAGUCCUUCAUGGGCGACGGCCGUGAUGGAAUAGACAAGGUUGCUUCUUCAUGGACCCUUCAUGGGUGGAGCCCUCCAUGGACUCGCACAACCGUUACCCUCCGUGGGUUGAAGUCUCCAUCAACGUGGAUGUACGAUAGAACCACCUAUCGGAACCACGACAAAAACAUCCGUGUCUCCAAUUGCGUUUGAAUCCUCCAAACCCUUCCCUUUACAUUCUUGCAAGUUGCAUGCUUUACUUUCCGCUGCUCAUAUACUCUUUUGCAUGCUUGCUUUAAUUGUGUGGAGAUUGCUUGACUUGUGCUAAGAUAGCUAAAAUCUGCCAAGAACUAAAAUUGGGAAAACGCUAGAUUUUUAUUUGGUCAAGUAGUCUAAUCACCCCCCCUCUAGACAUACUUUCGAUCCUAUAACAAGGCAUCAACUUGGCAAACCAAGUGUUCCCUGGAAAGAUGAGUUGAUUUCGGUCGAAAUCGAUAUAAAGAUCACCGGAAUCGGAUGCACGGUUUGCAAAUGGCAAGCAAAACAAUAAUGGCACAAUUCUGCGAUUAACAGCACGAUGCCAUCUAGAGUGCGACAAGAAACUAAUCUACUGCAUCCCAACAUAGAAACAAAGCACAUGGCAAUGAUCUACUCAAGAUGCUUGACAAAAAUGAACAAUGAGCUAUGGAUAAAUCACACAAGAGCAGGUUCAAACAAGUAUGGCAAAAGUGCAAAAGAUAUCAGCAUCACAGACUUAGUGAAAAUACUAAGAUGCCAGGAAUAACAUCAGGAAGCAAUGUUUAGAGCAAGCUAACAACAUGCUAAAGGAACAGAACAUAUCAAACAAAGGCAUGGCAUGAAUCUACUCAAAGUAUAGAACAAAAGUCCCUUACUGAUCAAGAGCCAAAGAGGCACAGAAGAUAUUAUGGCACCCAUGUAAACAUAGCAAGUUUCGUUAACAGAUUCAGACUUAGCAGGAAACUGAGCAUGGCAAAACAGAGUUAUGAAGGCAUCUUUGCGAGCUCGAUUCACUCACCACAAGGCAUUGCAUGACAAGAUAAGCAUACUACCAGCAAUAAGACAUGGUCAUAAGGAUAACCAUGGCAAGAACAAGUUUAUAGCAUGCUUGGAUCAACUACAACAUCCAUGGCAAAAUUGAUUAACAUGUAAACAAUCUGCCAGGAACAUUUUAUAGGAAAAGUAGAGCAAUAUUAAGUCAUGCUAGGGCACUCCAUAAUUGCAAACAGGGGCAUGGAUGGAUAGAGCAUAACCAUAUGUCCAAAUCAUCCUUACUGAAGCAACUCAAAUAAAGCAUGGAUCACUCUGUAGCAUCAUGGAUACAUGGCAUAAAAAUAACAGCAGGAAAAUGACUUACUGAAAUCCUAAGUCCCUGAAAUCAACAAUAUCAUGAAGGCUACUUUGCAUGCUUGUGAUAGUCACCACAUUGAUCACAAAAAUACAUGGAAAGCACCCCUGUAAAGAUGACAUGGCAUAGAUCAAAAAACAUGUAGAGCUCAUGCCCAUAUGCAACACACAACAAGUGUAGCAAAAAUGAAAAAUCCUCAUACUCUGAUAAGAAUCAGCACCUAACAAUUUAUAGCACUCUUGCAUCCACGAUUUGGGCAUUAAAAUGGACUCAAACAAGCAUGUCACAAUGGAAUAAAAUGAAGAGCACAUCAUGAUGAACAUUUUGAUAUAUCGCACGCACAAAACGGAGCAGUACACAUGAAGUUAUGGCAUGAUGAACAAGGCCUGAAAAAUUACAUGAAAAAGACAGAGAAAUUCUGGACCUCCAGAUCUAGGGUUAGCACACGCUUCCCGAGGAUCAUCGGAAGACAUCGCCGGAGUAGACGGGGACGAAGCGGAUGGCGGCCGGAGCGGAGGAGAGGACGCCGGGCGGCGACGCGCGCGCAAAGGGCAGCGACGGCGAGCGAGCACUGNNNNNNNNNNNNNNNNNNNNNNNNNNNNNNNNNNNNNNNNNNNNNNNNNNNNNNNNNNNNNNNNNNNNNNNNNNNNNNNNNNNNNNNNNNNNNNNNNNNNNNNNNNNNNNNNNNNNNNNNNNNNNNNNNNNNNNNNNNNNNNNNNNNNNNNNNNNNNNNNNNNNNNNNNNNNNNNNNNNNNNNNNNNNNNNNNNNNNNNNNNNNNNNNNNNNNNNNNNNNNNNNNNNNNNNNNNNNNNNNNNNNNNGGCGGCGCGGGGGCGGCGGACGCGCCACGUGGCAGACGGAGAAUGGCUGGGCACGGCGGCGGAGGAUGUGUCCGGCACCGGUGGACGUGUCCGUCGCGCAGAGGAAGGAGGAGACUAGGGUUUCGCCCGAAUUUUGAGGGGGGUGCACAUAUUUAUACCUAGAAGGAGGUGGGAGUGUCCAAAUGAGGUGUAGUUUUCGACCAUGCGAUCGUGAUCCGACGGCGGAGGACAUGAGAUAGGUUUGGAUGGGUUAUUGGGCCACUUUGGAGGGGUGUUGGGCUGCAACACACACGAGGCCUUUACAGUUCCCCGGUUAACCAUUGGAGUAUCAAACAGACUCCAAAUGGCACGAAACUUGAUAGGCGGUCUACCGGUGGUGUACCAAGGCCGCUUGGCAAAUCUCGGUCCAUUCCAAGAAAGUUUAACACCCGCUCACGAAAAGAGGCAAAAGGGGGCGCCGAAGGACGUAGGAGUGUCGGAUUGCAAAACGGACAACGGGGAAAAUGCUCGGAUGCAUGAGGCGAACACGUAAGCAAAUGAGAUGCACAUAAUGACAUGAUAUGAAAUGCAUGACAUGGACAAAAUGCAAAACAAAGACAAAACCCAACCACGAGGAAAUCUCAUAACUUAGAGCCGAAAUGGCAAGAGUCGAAGUACAAAUAUGGCGAGUUACAUCCGGGGUGUUAAAGUGCCCCUGCCCCCGUAUAUAAAGGAGCAAGGGGAGGAGGCGGCCGGCUAGGGAGAGACGCGCCAAGAGAGGGAGUCCUACUCCCACAAGGAGUAUGACUCGUUUUCCUAGUAGGAGUAGGAGAGGGGGAAGGAAAGGGAGAGGAGGAGAAGGAAAGAGGGGGCCGACCCCCUUGCCCUAAACCAAUUCGGUUUGGGCCUUGGGGGGCGCGCCCCACACUCCCCUUGCUGACCUCUAUUUCCACUAAGGCCCAUGUAGGCCCAUUAAGCCCCCCGGGGGGUUCUGGUACCCCCCGGUACUCCGGUAUAUGUCUGAAACCUUCCGGAACCUUUCUGAUGUCCGAACAUAGUCGUCCAAUAUAUCGAUCUUUACGUCUCGACCAUUUCGAGACUCCUCGUCAUGUCUGUGAUCAUAUCCGGGACUCCGAACUACCUUCGGUACAUCAAAACACAAAAACUCAUAAUACCGAUCGUCACCGAACUUUAAGUGUGCGGACCCUACGGGUUCGAGAACUAUGUAGACAUGACCGAGACACGUCUCCGAUCAAUAACCAAUAGCGGAACCUGGAUGCUCAUAUUGGCUCCCACAUAUUCUACGAAGAUCUUUAUUGGUCAAACCGCAUAACAACAUACGUUGUUCCCUUUGUCAUCGGUAUGUUACUUGCCCGAGAUUCGAUCGUCGGUAUCUCAAUACCUAGUUCAAUCUCGUUAUCGGCAAGUAUCUUUACUCGUUCCGUAAUACAUCAUCCCACAACUAACUCAUUAGUUACAAUGCUUGCAAGGCUUAUAGUGAUGUGCAUUACCGAGUGGGCCCAGAGAUACCUCUCCGAAAAUCGGAGUGACAAAUCCUAAUCUCGAAAUAUGCCAACUCAACAAGUAACUUAGGAGACACCUAUAGAGCACCUUUAUAAUCACCCAAUUACGUUGUGGCGUUUGGUAGCGCACAAAGUGUUCCUCCGGUAAACGGGAGUUGCAUAAUCUCAUAGUCAUAGGAACAUGUAUAAGUCAUGAAGAAAGCAAUAGCAACAUACUAAACGAUCAAGUGCUAAGCUAACGAAAUGGGUCAAGUCAAUCACAUCAUUCUCCUAAUGAUGUGAUCACGUUAAUCAAAUGACAACCCAUGUCUAUGGCUAGGAAACAUAACCAUCUUUGAUCAACGAGCUAGUCAAGUAGAGGCAUACUAGUGACACUCUGUUUGUCUAUGUAUUCACACAUGUAUCAUGUUUCCGAUUAAUACAAUUCUAGCAUGAAUAAUAAACAUUUAUCAUGAUACAAGGAAAUAAAUAAUAACUUUAUUAUUGCCUCUAGGGCAUAUUUCCUUCACAAAGAUCUUUAUCGGUCGAACCGUUAUGACAACAUACAUAAUUGCAUUCUUCCAUCGGUAUGUUACUUGCCCGAGCUUCGAUCAUUGGUAUCUUCAUACCUAGUUUAAUCUCGUUACCAGCAAGUCUCUUUACUCAUUCCAUUAUAAAAGAUCUUGUGGCUAACUCAUUAGUCACAUUGCUUGCAAGCUCAUUGUGAUACUGUAUUAUCGAGUGGGCCCUGAGAUACCUCUCCGUCAUACGGACUGACAAAUCCCAGUUUUGAUCCAUGCCAACUCAACAGACACCCUCGAAGAUACCUAUAGAGCACCUUUAUAGUCACUCAGUUACAUUGCGACAUUUGGUACACACAAGGUGCUCCUCCAGUGUCAGUGAGUUGCAUUAUCUCAUGGUCAUAGGAACAUAUACUUGACAUGCAGAAAACGAUAGCAAUAAACUUGACACGAUCAUAUGCUAUGUUUAUAGUUUGGGUCUUUGUCCAGCACAUCAUUCUCCUAAUGAUGUGAUCCCAUUAUUAAAUGACAACUCAUGUCUAUGACUAGGAAACCAUAGCCAUCUUUGAUCAACGAGCUAGUCCGGUAGAGGCUUAGUAGGGACAUGUUGUUGUCUAUGUAUCCACACAUGCAUUUGAGUUUCCGGUCAAUACAAUUAUAGCAUGGAUAAUAAACGAUUAUCAUGAACAAGGAAAUAUGAUAAUAACCAAUUUAUUAUUACCUCUAGGGCAUACUUCCAACAGUCUCCCACUUGCACUAGAGUCAAUAAUCUAGUUCACAUAGCCAUGUGAUUAACACUCAUAGUCCAUAUCGCCAUGUGACUAACACCCAAAGAGUUUACUAGAGUCAAUAAUCUAGUUCACAUCACCAUGUGAUUAACACUCAGUGAGUUCUAGGAUUUGAUCAUGUUAUGCUUGUGAGAGAGGUUUUAGUCAACGAAUCCACAACAUUCAGAUCUGCAUGUACUUCACAAAUCUCUGUGUCAUUUUGUAGAUGCCGCUAUCACGCUCCACCUAGAACUAUUCCAAAUGGUUCCUCCACUAUACGCAUCCAGUUUGCUACUCAGAGUCAUCCAGAUAGGUGUUAAAGCUUGCAUCGACAUAACCCUUUACGCUGAACUCUUUAUCACCUCCAUAACUGAGAAACAUUUCCUUAUUCCUCAAAGGACAAUUUUGACCGUUGUCCAGUGAUCCACUCCCGGGCCACUUUUGUACCCCUUGCCAGACACAUGGCAAGGCACACAUCAGGUGCGGUACACAGCAUGGCAUACCAUAUAGAGCCUAUCACUACUGCAGGAUGCUGCUAACACGACACUACGAUCAGAGACCCUUCGAGAAACUGUGUGCGAUGCAAUAAUCACAAACGGUGGUGUAUGAAAACCAUCAAAAAUGUAUAAAAUGUUUGCGAUGACAAAUGCAUCAAACAUGGUUCAGAUUUUAGUUGCGUGUGCAAUGAAGGGCAUACGGUUCAGUUCAAUUAACUGUUUGCGAUAGGAGGAACAAAAGAAACGGGCAGCCAGAUGAAGGCGUGUGCGAUACACAACAUAUGGUUCACUCGGAUGAACUGUUUGUGAUUAGGCAACACAAAAUAAACGGGCAGCCAGAUGAAGGUGUGUGCGAUAUACAACAUACAGUUCACUCGGAUGAACUGUUUGUGAUUAGGCAACACAAAAGAAAUGGUCAGCCAUAUCAAUGUGUGUAUGAUAUACGCAUGCGGUUCACUCGGCCCUUGUCAUCAGUGUGUGACCUCUGUGGCAACCGUUCGCUCCCCAAGCGCCUCUUCGUGUACCGUGGCAACCGUACACCGACUCUUUGCCUUUCCCUCUCGAUUUGGAACUGCUGUCGCACGCUCUUCCUCCCUCCUCCAUUUUUCUUCACCCUUCUUUCUGCCAUUGUUCGAUCGUCUUCUUCAUCAAGGGAACAGGCCGUAAACGACCCCGUUAUUCUUGCCCCGAUCUGAAUGAUGACACGGUGGAGGAACUCAUUGAUCGGUGCAACGUCAUCACCUCGGCUAGCAUGGCAGGUUCAUUCAAGACCAUUCUCGACUCAACUAAUAACAUCAUUACAAGGAACCCAAGGGUCCAGGAGCGGUUUGAUCUCCCCUAUCUUCUUCGCCGGGACCCUACUGACUGGCGCGGGGACGAGGGAAGCCUCGCCUUGUGCAAGUUGAUGCCGCUUGAUAAUGAUACGUAUGAUGUUAAGAUGCCAUCGUUUGAGGGCAAGGCUUGGGCAGGCACAAAUGGAGAUUGGGUUGUUUAUAUUGGGUACAACUGCGAGUGGGUACUUGUGAAUGUGUACACUCGUCACCGGGUUCCACUUCCAAAAAUCUCAGACGACUGCCCAGAGGUUGAGUACACCGGUAUUCUACGUGAGUUCAAAUACGAUCAUGGUGACUAUCAUCUACGGAAGAUAGCAAUUUGUCGAGUUCCCAACUGCUCUUGGGAUUAUACGAACUAUGAAGUUGUUGCUAUCUUCGACAAGAUUAUUGUCGUCCUUACUUCCAUGCCUCGAUGGAUAUUGCUCAAAAAUCAAUUUCUGUACACGAAUGAGUACUGUGAUGCAAUUCAAUACGAGGGUCUUGUGUUUGCUGCCACCACUUGUGGCACUGUUUUUGCAUGGAAUUCUGAUGCUUUCGGUAUGUUUGUCUUCCACCGUAAUUAUAAUUGUUUCAUCCACAUGCAUGCGGGUUAGCUAGUUUCCCUUUACUAAUUAACCUUCUUGUGUUUCGAAGGUCCUGUGAACAUUCCACCACCUAUACUUGAAAAUUUUUAUAACCAAGGGGGAGAUGACGAUGCUGAUGAUCACGAGCAUGAGGAGGAGCAGGACCCAUAUACUCAGUGGCGCCUGGCAACUUAUUCCGAUGGAUCACCUCUUCUUGUCUGUAUACAGUGCACUGCUGAUGUUACCAAGGAAGCAUGUGCUGUCUCGCAUGGUUGCACUCCCCGGACCUAUUCCAACAUCCGUUGCAGGGUAUUCAGGAUGGAUACUAGUGUACUAGCACCAACACCUUCUCCCUGGUUCAGUAUUGAAAGUCUUGGAGGAAACUCACUCUUCCUUGGACAAAACUAUCCAAUGAUGGUGGAAGGUGAUCCAGCUGCUGUUGACACAACGUUACUACCAUUUAUGAGAAGCAACUGUAUCUAUACCUCGGACAUUGCUAUGCUUCCCUACCGUCCCAAUAUGGGUCCUAACAUAGGCCGCUUCAGCCUGGAUGAUCAGUCCUGCAUUGGUCUCGAGAUUGACAGUAGCUGGCCCUUCCCAGAGAAUCACUUCUGGUUCAAAGCAAGCGUUUCCAACGACGACGAGUGGUUGCGUUGAAGUUCAUUUCAUCUCUUUGUUAUUUGUUGUCGUGGAAUUGUCACGGCAGAUGUCCUAGAGCAAGGACUUAGUCGUAGGGCCAUCGCACUAGGAAGCUUAAGGGGAUUGAUCGGGACAAAUGACACGAGAGGGUUUUAUACUAGUUCAGCCCCUUACGAUGAAGGUAAAAGCCUACGUCUAGUUGGGAUUGGUAUUGCUAGGGUUUCGAUCACCAAGAGGCUCAACUCGCCGGCUUGGUUAUCGACUUGUUCUUUCUUGCCCUAAGCCGCCACCGGGUCGUUCCCUUAUAUACAUGGGUUAACGUCUGGUGGCCUACAGAGUCCCGGUCGGCUCAUAAUCGUGUCCGGCUCGGUGACUUCCUUUACAUGCCUUUCUUUACAAGUCUUUCCUUACAUAUGGCGGUUCACAAUAUCAGGCCUUAAACCGCCUUCAGGCCUUUGGGCCUUCUAUAAGAUUUAAUACACUAUAAUCUUGAAUGUUUACUGGGCUUCUUGUGUAACCCGCCAUUGGGGCUGACCCGGCCCCUCCUGGGCGGGUCAUAACUGAUAGUAAUAUCCCCAACAUUAGGCCCCAGGUUGACUUUGAACUUCGUUCUUUGUCAAUCUUCAAUACUUAGACAAAAAUCCAUCUUCUUAUCUUCGUUGAAAUUUUCUUGUAACCCGCCGUGACGUCAUCUCUUGAAAAAGCAAAAAACUUUCAUGACAUCAUCUUCCAACGGAUCUUUUAUCUUUAAUGUUUCCCGAGAAUCGAGGCGCCUGUAUAGCUGGUAGCCAUUAUUCGGCUCUCCCUUGAUUUUCGCGCCCGUCUGUUCGCAUCUUUUUCUUAUAAAUAGGCAUGCCUCGGCCUUCUCAUUCUCCUCUCUCGCUCCAUCUUCUUCCUCUCGCAAACCCCCUACUGCUCGAGCUUCGCCACCGCCGCGCUUCACCUCCGUCUCCGUCGACGUUGGCCGCUGCAUCAACCCGAACCGAUCCAGAGAACAACGGCGACCUCCGCAGCAGAUCCGCAAUCAUAAGUGUCUUCCUUUUUAUUUCUCAGAUUCUCAUUUUAGGGUUUCCAAGCUCCUGCGUGUUCUUCAUAGUUCAUCAUAGUUCAUCGUAGUUCUUCCACUGCCAGCCUUUUCUGAUCCAAAAAGUUAUAUAUAUGCUCGCGCGGUAGUGUUUUUGUACCUCUUCUUGAUCCACAGAUCCCUUUCUCUGAUUAAAAGGUUGCUUCAGAACUUACCGACUCCUUUGUACUAAACUUUUUAGGUCUAGAAUUGUUUUCAUUUUUGAAUAACCAUUUGAUCUGGAAUAAUACCAAGCAAUGUAGGAAACUUGUUUGUCUCAAUACUUAGCUGAAUUUGCCUUCUUCAAAUAUCUGUAGUCAUGGCGGCUUAUCAUGUCGGCUUAAUUUUCCUUAUAUGUCAUUAGCCCUUAACUAAGCCGCCAUUACUUGUUUGCAUCUUCAUCACUUAACUGUCAAUCUCACCAUUAAACUGAACCGACAUGUUAGCUUUCCUUUUCAGUUCUUUGCACAUCAUGCCAUCCAAAACACCAACCAUCUGUAACUGGGUUCCCUCAACCAUAACUGAGGAACGUUUAAAAGAGUUCUUCACCAUAGGAUUUCUGCCAACGAAAAUCGUCAUGUCUUACCGUGCCCCUGACCCGGAAGAAGAAUGGCCCAAUCCAAGAGACGGUGAGGUGAUCGUUUUUACUGACCACAUGAGCCGUGGCUUCUCACCGCCCGGCUCAAAGUUCUUCAGAGAGGUCCUCCAAUUUUUCAAGCUCCACCCUCAAGAUAUCGGGCCCAACUCCAUAUCUAACAUCUAUAACUUCCAAGUGCUCUGUGAGGUAUAUCUUUAAUAAGAGCCGACCGUGGAGUUGUUUAGAGAAUACUUUUAUCUAAACCGGCAGAACGAGUGCACCAACGGCCUUAGCUUAGAGCUUGGAGGCAUAUCAAUUCAGCACCGGCAGGGUGCCGUCUUCCCCCUCAUUGUCUUACCAAGUCACCCAAAGGACUAGAACCAGACUUGGUUCUACUGCCAGGACACUUCACCAGCAAACGAGAAGCCACUGCCAGGUUAUCGCCCCGAUCGUCUUGACUCCAAAUUCACGCUUCCUGAUAAGCUUACCGUCGCUGAACGCAAGAGGCUGAUACCAUCUAUCAAAAGGGUCAAUGCUCUGUUGGGGAACGGGUUAACUGGAGUUGAUCUGACCCACUGCUGGAUCUCAUGGUGGGUCAUCCCUUUGAGCCGCCGGUCAAAGCUGAUGUAUGAGUAUGGUGGAGGCCCGGAUGACUCUCUUCGUCACAGCCCCAUUCAAUUGACAGAAGAAGAUAUUGUCUCAAUGUCAACUCUUCUGGUGAACGGGAAAUACGAAGAUUGCAGUGUCGUAAUGUUAAACCCCUUCUGUCAGCUUAACCCGGUGCCAGAAGUAAGGAUGUCGUUAUUUCUCUCUUUUGUAUUUUCCCAGCCGCAUUGUUUUAAUACUUGCCUGACUCUUUAUCUUGUUUUUUACCUGUCUGCAGGCCAACUCUGACUUCUGGAAAUUUAAGUAUGAUCACGAGGCUGCCAAGAAAGCGAAAGCCGCCGCCACAAACGCCAAGAAAACGACCCGGAGGUCGAAAAAGAAGAAAAAGAUCACUGCUGAAGAUUUGAUGAAGCUUGAUGAUACAUCUGACUCGGAGGUAGCCCUUGAUUCCCUUGGCCAAUUUUUUAACAAUCUUAUUGACACUGAUCAUUACCAGGAUGACACUGGGGCCAGUCAGGCUGUGGAAGCAGAGGUAACUAUCAUUUCCUUCGACUCAGAGCCCUUGCCAAGGCAAAAGGUUCGACGAGUGAUCCGUAAAGUAAUGUUUUCUAACCCUUUAGCUCACUUGGAUCCCAACUUUCGUUUGAAAAAGCAGCAACAUGAAAGCCGCCAUCAAGCUGGGACUGAAGAUGAGCCGGUUGUCGUUCUUCAACAAACUCCUCAGAAGCAUCCGAAUGAGGUUUACUUCUUUCUGUCUUUAACUCUUUUUAAUGGAUCCUUCCUCUUGUAUUACUUUUAACUCUAUUUUAUCCUUUUAGGAGGUGUCUCGCUCUUCUGGAGACUCAUCACAGACGCAAUUUCCGGCCUUCAAGACUGCCCCUGGGUAAUGAAAAAUCCUCAUAUUUCUAUGUUGCUCAAAUUGUAUCUUUAUACUGAUGAUCUUGCAACAUUUUUCUUAGUGGCCAAGCUAAAUCCAAGAAAGCGAAGGUAGCUAAACUGGUGGAAGACCCGCCAGUGCUUGCAUCUGACCCGGCCAGUCCAUCUUCUCCAUGAACCGACACUCCAGCAGACCCGCCUGUUGAUGUAGAAGCAAAUCCUCCUGAGCCGUCGUUUGAUGAGACCACUGUAAACCCUUCUGCUACUGGACCAUCAAGCUCAGCCAACCCUCCAUCACCGUCUGCACAAGACUUCAGAUCACCGGGAGCCGCUUUAUUGAACCGGGGAGUCCAACCGUGCUGGCUCGGUGUACUGCGAAAUAAGAGGCAUUGGAGAGGCAGAAAUUUCGCUUUGACGUUGCCAACUAUGACCAUCUAAAUGCCAAUGAUAUUUUAUCUGGCUAUCUUAGUCAUGUACACUCCAGUCGCGACUCUGAGAUUGAAAUGGUCAAACAGCUGCAGUUGAAAUACGAGGUACGUUCUUCCAGCUUAUCUAUAUUCCUUCAGCCCCCAAGUCUUCAGAUUAUGAGAGAACCGGAAUGAUCUAUAGACUUUAAAAUAUAGGCCGAGACCUUUACCUUUGAAACUUUUCUUGAAUUCAAUAGAACAAAGCUUCACCUGUAGUCCCCAAGGGCCGGUUUAUUUUGAUCAUAAAUGAGCCGGUACCUUAAAUUGUUUGGUACCAUAUUCAAAGGACUUAAUUGUAACACCCUCGAUGUGGCUAUAUCUCCCACGUGUCGAAGCACGACUUAGAGGCAUAACCGCAUUGAAAGCAAUGUCACAAGUGAGGUAAUCUUCGCAAACAACCCAUGUAAUACAAUAAGGGAAAAAGGAUACAUAGUUGGCUUACACUCGCCACGUCACACAAAUGCAUAAAUAACAUUACAUUCAUCCAAAUACACUCAAGGUCCGACUAUGGAACCAAAAUGAAGAUAAACCCCAAAUGCAACAUAGUCCCCGAUCGCCCCAACUGGGCACCACUACUGAUCAUCUGGGAAAGACAUGUAGUAACGACGAGAGUCUUCAUCGAACUCCCACUUGAGCUCGGUCAUAUCAUCUGGAGCGGUAUCAUCGGUCCCUGCAUCUGGUUUUGGAAGUAAACUGUGAGUCACGGGGACUCAGCAAUCUCACACCCUCGCGAUCAAGACUAUUUAAGCUUAUAGGAAGGGUAAAGGUAUGAUGUGGAGCUACAGCAAGCGACUAGCAUAUUUGGUGGCUAAACAUAUGCGCAAAAGAGAGCGAGAAGAGAAGGCAAAGGCACGAGCGACAAACUAUGAUCAAGAAGUGAUCCUAGAACAACCUACGUCAAACAUUACUCCAACACCGUGUUCACUUCCCGGACUCCACCGAGAAGAGACCAUCACGGUUACACACGCGGUUGGUGCAUUUUAAUUAAGUUAAGUUUCAGGUUUUCUACAACCGGACAUUAACAAAUUCCCAUCUGCCCAUAACCGCAGGCACGACUUUCGAAAGUUCAAAUCCCUGCAGGGGAGUCCCAACUUAGCCCAUCACAAGCUCUCACGGUCAAUAAAGGAUAUUCCUUCUUCCAAGACAUUCCGAUCAGACUCGGCAUCCCGGUUACAAGACAUCCUCGACAAUGGUAAAACAAGUCCAGCAACACCGCCCGAAUGUGCCGACAAAUCCCGAUAGGAGCUGCACAUAUCUAGUUCUCAGGGCACACUCAGAUGAACACUACGUACAACUAAAACCAACCCUCAAGUUUUCCCGAGGUGGCGCUGCAAGUGGCUCUGUUUUGGACCAACACUCAGAGGAGCACUGGCCCGGGGGGUUUAAUAAAGAUGACCCUUGGGCUCCGGAAACCCAAGGGAAAAAGAAGCUAGGUGGCAAAUGGUAAAACCAAGGUUGGGCAUUGUUGGAGGAGUUUUAUUCAAGGCGAACUGUCAAGGGGUUCCCAUUAUAACCCAACCGUGUAAGGAACACAAAAUCCAGGAACAUAACACCGAUAUGACGGAAACUAGGGCAGCAAGAGUGGAACAAAACACUAGGCAUAAGGCCAAGCCUUCCACCCUUUACCAAGUAUAUAGAUGCAUUAAGAUGAACAAGAUAAUAUGGUGAUAUCCCAACAAUAAACAAGUUCCAACAAGGAACGAUCUCCAAUCUUCACCUGCAACUAGCAACGCUAUAAGAGGGGCUGAGCAAAGCGGUAACAUAGCCAAACAACGGUUUGCUAGGACAUGGUGGGUUAAAGGUUUGACAUGGCAAUAUGGGAGGCAUGAUAAGCAAGUGAUAGGUAUCGUAGCAUAGGCAUAGCAAAAGAGCGAGCAUCUAGCAAGCAAAGAUAGAAGUGAUUUCGAGGGUAUGGUCAUCUUGCCUGCAAAGUUCUCAGAGUUGUCUUGAUCCUCGUAAGCGUACUCAACGGGCUCCUCGUUCACGUACUUGUCUCCCAGCUCUACCCAAGCAAGGACAACAAGCAAAAGGAACACAAUCAACCACGUGCAAUGCUCAAACAACAUGAUGCAAACAUGGUAUGAUAUGCGGGAUGCGAUAUGUGAUGCAUAGGCAUGAUUUGGAAAUGAAUGAUUGGACCUGGCCUCAACUUGGAAAACCAAGAGUGCCACUAUAAAGGUGAGUUGAUUUCGGUUGAAAACGAUAUAAAGAUCACCGGAAUCGGAUGCAUGGUUUGGAAAUGGCAAGCAAAACAAAUAUAGCACCGGUCUGUGAUAAACAGCAAGUAGCCAUCUAAAUGCAUCAAGAACAAUAUGCUACAGCACUCCAACAUGGCAACAAAAUACAUGGCAGGGAUCCACUCAUGAUGCUUGACAAAAGAUGAACACUGAGCUACGGCUAAUUCACUCAUUAACAGGUUCAAACAAACAUGGCAAAAGUGCAAAAGAUUACUGGUUUCAGACUUAGUGAAAUAACAAGUCAGGAAUUUAUCAACAGGAAGCAAUGUUUAGAGCACGAAAACUACAUGCUACAGGAACAUAUCAUGGCAAAUCAAGGCAUGGUAUGAAGCUACUCUAAGCAUAUAACAAAAGUCCCUUAGUGACCAUGAGACAAAAGGGAUCAUAAAAUACAAUUGCAAGCAUGUGAACAUAGCAAAAACAGAAACAGAUUCAGACUUAGUGAAAAACUGGAGCAUGGCAAAACAGAUAACGAGUAGGCAUGUCUACGAGCUCGAUGCACUCACUACGAGGCAUUGCAUGACAAACUAAGCAUACACCCAACAAAUAAACAUGGCAUAGAAGCUAGACAUGGCAAGAACAACAACAUAAAAUGUACGGAUCAACAACAACAACCUCGGCAAAAUCGCUAAACAUGUUAACAAUCUGCUAGGAACAUUUUAUAGCAAAAGUAGAGCUCGAUUGACUCAAGCUAGGGUGCUCCAUAAUUGCAAACAAAGACAUGGAUGGAUAGAGCACAACAUUAUCUGCAAAACAUCCUUACUGAUCAUGCUCAAAAGAGGCACGGAUCACUAGGAAGCAACAUGAACAUAUGGCAUAAAAAUAAUGACAGGGCAAGGACUUAGUGAAAUUCUAAGUCCCUGAAAUUAGCAUCAAUGAGUAAGCUACUUUGCAUGCUUGUGCUAGUCACCACAAAGAUCACAAAAAAACAUGGCAUACACCCCUGUAAAGAUGGCAUGACAUUCUUCAAAACACAUGUAGAGCUCAGGAUCAUAGCAUGCACACAUUAAUCAUGGUAAAAAUGACAAAAGUGCAUUUGCUGAAACAGAUCUGAAACUAUCAUCACAUAGCCCUCUUCCAACAGCAUUUCGGGCAUCAAGAUGAGCUCAAAUGAAAAUGAUGCAAUGAGAUGAAAUGAUGUACUCGUUGAGACGAACAUUUUGAUAUGCUACACGCGCGAAUCGAAGCUACGAUGAUGAAGUUAUGAUGCGUCAAAGUAUGCCAAAAAGUUAGGGUUAGGAGGGAAAAAGUCAACCGAGAGGGGAUGGAUCUGGAUCUGGAUCUCGCGGGUCACUAUAGCUGCGCGGAUUUCGAAGAUGGCCGGCCGAAGUCGACGAACUCGCCGGCGCGAGGGGGCUCGCCGGAGUAGGGCGCGGCACUUGGCGCCGGCGGACGAGGGCGGCGGGCUCCGGGCGGUGGAGGACGACGUCGGCGGCGAGGCGGCGGACUCCGGGCGGUGGAGGAGAAGCCCACCGGAGCGGGGCGGCGGCAGGCCGACGAAGGGCGGCGAAGGGAUGGCGGUGGUGGUCCGGCGCCGGCGCUAGGAGAGGAGAAGCAGUGCGGGGCGCUGCGGGCGGCGGCCGGGUGAUGGGCUCGCGGGGCCCCGACUUGGGCCUCCCGGGCCGGCGAUGUGGGGCGGUGCUGGCGACGAAUCGUGUCGCGACACGUGGCGGCGGUGGGUCAGGUCGGACGUGUCUGGCCUGGCUGGACUUCGUCCGGCAGUGCGAGGAGGGGGGAGACUAGGGUUUGGGGUGUUUUGACCCGGAAUUUCGGGAGGAGGCCUAUUUAUAGAGGUAGGAGGAGUUAGGAAGCUCCAAAUGAGGUGCGGUUUGCGGCCACGCGAUCGUGAUCGAAAGAUAUAGAUGAUAGAAGGGGUUUGAGUGGGUUUUGGGCCACUUUGGAAGGGUGUUGGGCUGCAACACACACGAGGCCUUCUCGGUCCCUCAGUUAACCGUUGGAGUAUCAAACGAAGUCCAAAUGGCACGAAACUUGACAGGUGGUCUACCGGUAGUAAACCAAGGCCGCAUGACAAGUCUCGGUCCAAUCCGAACACGUUUAACACCCACACACAAAAAGAGGUAGAAAGGACCACCGGAGGACAUAGGAGCGCCGGAAUGCAAAAUGGACAACGAGGAAAAUGCUUGAAUGCAUGAGACGAACACGUAUGCAAAUGCAAUGCACAUGAUGACAUGAUAUGAAAUGCAUGACAAAGACAAAACACACAGAGACAAAAACCCGACAACGAGGAAAUAGAAUAACUUAGUACCGGAAACGGCAAGAGUUUGAGUACAAAUAAGGUAGGUUACAUCCGGGGUGUUACAUUAAUACUCCGGCUUAACCUUGAGAAACUUUGCUAAACUGCGUACAUUAGCCCCCAAAUGCCAAGUGUUGUUACUUUGUAAGGUACUUGGGACAUAACGUAUGUCUUUAGAGUCAUAAAAAUUUGAUUUGGCAUACAUUAGCCCCCAAGUGUCAAGUGGUUUUUUGUAAAGUACUUGAGACUUCAAUCUUGAUUUUUGAACUUGAAGCAAAAUCUUGACUCAUCUGAAUGUUUUGCAGAAUGCCUUAUCUGAAUUGAACUCGCAAUUGACUGAUGCGAAGACCCGGCUAGCGAGUUAGGAGGCAGAAAUCAAAUCUGCUAACUCCAAACUGCAAAUAAGUCUCUCUGAGACGGAAAAUUUAAAGACCAGCUUCACUGCCAAAAAGAAAACUUGGGAAGAGGAAAAAACGCUUCUGACCCAACGUGCUGAGAAGGCCGAAAUAGCCCUUGAAGAGAUUUCAACAGAGCUGAACGGUUUAAAGGGCCGGGUGUCUCAAAUGGUGGCUACCAUCUUUGGUAAGCCAUCCUACUUUAAUUUUGUGUGCUUUUUGAUGAUCCGGAGUAUAAGCCGCCAGCUGACUUUGUGUAUAAAAUAUGUGCAGGCCCUCGAAGCAAAAAUCUAAGCCAAGACCCUUUGAUUAAACUGAAGGCAGUGUAUACUUUGGUAGAACAAUUGUAUAUUGGUGCACAGCGGGCUCUUGCCGCCAUCUCUCCUGCCAAUCAAGGACCCAACCGGCUCAGCGACGUCCUGAAGAAACUGUCAAUCCUGCCAGCCAGGUUUCAAGAAGUGAAACACUCCUGCGCGUGAGCCGGAGCUUUGACUGCCCUGAGCCGCUCCAAGGCUUGGGCGCCAGACCUAGACCCGGCGGACGUGUCCAGAGGCUAUCCCACCAUGAAGGAAGAUGGUUCUCCUUUUGAGCAGGAUGACUUCAUGGCCUGCGUGCGCAGAGUCCGACCUCAGGCAACUACCCUUGGAGCCGGUGUUAGUGUUAUGCCUCUCUCUUUAUAUCGUAGACUUGAUUUGAAUAAGUUGACACCUACUGAAAUAUCUUUGAAAAUGGUUGAUAAAUCUACUGCUAUACCUGUCGGUAUUUUUGAGGAUGUGCCCGUUGUAGUUGCAAACGUUACUAUUUUAAUGGACUUUGUUAUUCUUGAUAUUCCCGAGGACGAUAGUAUGUCUAUUAUUCUUGGAAGAUCCUUUUUGAAUACUGCAGGGGCUGUUAUUGAUUGCACUAAAGGCAAUGUCACCUUUCAUGUUAAUGGUAAUGAGCAUACGGUACACUUUCCGAGGAAACAACCUCAAGUCCACAGUAUCAAUGCUAUUGGAAAAUUUUCAUCGAUUAUAUUUGGAGGUUUUGAAUUUCCUCUUCCUACUAUCAAGAAGAAAUAUGAUAUUCUUAUUAUCGGGGAUGUGCAUAUCCCCGUUGAGGUAACAUAGUGUUAUUCGAAAUUUCUCCGGUUCCAUGUUAUUCGGAAUGAGUUCAUUAACAAGACUUGAUCAACCUUAUUAGUGGAAUCCUUUUGAUGAUCAUGAGAAUGAUGAAACUAGAAGACACAACCUUCUGUACCCUACUUUUACUUUCUGUUAUUUAUAUUAAAUAAAAUAAAAAUAAAUAUUUUUCUGUCUGUUAUCUAAUUAUUCGUGCAAUAUAAAAAUACCCCAAAAAUAAAACUUCUCCAAAUGCCUUGAAAUUUAAAUAUGAUUUUUUCUACAAUAUUUGAGAAUAUUUGGCACUGAGAACACAGCAGGGGGGGUCAACCACCUGCCCACGAGGGUGGAGGGCGCGCCCUACCCCCCUGGGCGCGCCCCCUGCCUCGUGGGCCCACGGUGGCCCUUCUCCACUUAUCCUUUCACCCACACACUCAUUCUUCCUCCCCAAACAAGAAUAUCUAGCUCAAACCCGAGUCCAAACUCGUUUUGCUGCCAUUUUCGAUCUCCUUGCUCAAAGCACCUCUCAUAAAACUGCUUGGGGAGAUUGUUCCUUGGUAGGUGACUCCUCCAUUGGUCCAAUUAGUUUUUGUUCUAAUGCUUUAUUCAUUGCAAAUUUUUGCUGCUUAUGUGACCCUGUUCUUGAGCUUGCAUGUCAAAUUUAUAUGGUCAAAAGUAGUUUUGAUGCAUGAUAUAGGCCCUAGGAAAAGAAGAUAUAUCACCUCUUCAUCCGAGAUCGACACGACACCAUCGCUGGUCAGCAGAUUUAUGGUUUACACCUUUGUACUCGUAUUUGUAUGAAUCUUGCUUGUAGUUGAAUGAAAUAUGAAUGUUUUAAAAAAAAAUGGAAGCGGCAUGGCUAGUUUGACCUAUACACCUUGGGUGAUCCUCCACAAAUUAUCCUAGCUAAACUUGUUAGUGAUGUAACAAUUAUUUGAUUUUAAUAAAGUGUGCCAUAAGUUAAAAAACUUGAAUGAGAACAACCCUCCCCUUAUAAGAGAGUAGUUUACCUCCUCACCCAACAUUUCUUUUGAGAAUUUUAUCUAUGAGAGGUUGUAUAUCCUCUCUUCUUAAUUAUCAUGAUGGACAGGAAUCAAAUUGUUCUCGUGCAUGCCUUGUUUCUUUUGUGACUACAAACUUAUGCUCAUAAAACUCUUAUUUUCCAUCACACGAAAUAAAAAUAGUAUAUAUAUAUAUAUAGACACACACACACACAUAACGUAUCAAUGGGACGCAGCAUAAAUGAUAAACCCAAAGCCCCACGCGCGUAGAGCGACGGUUCCCAGAGGCGAAAAACAGGCGACGCGAGAGGGGUGGUUCCGGCAAGCGGUCGCCGACGGUCUCCAACGCCUCCGGUGGCCUCUUGGCGUCGGGAGGUGGGGGAAACCGUCAUCGACUGCGCGGCCGUCGUAGAUAGGGUUGUUGGGGUAGUUUCUCCAAGCAUUGGUGCUCGAGCGAGGACGACUCCGAUGAGGUGGAAUAAAAUCCUCCAGCCUACUCUCCGUCGCGUUGGUGCUUGCUCUGGCGACGCCAAGGGGCUAGGGAGGCGGGGUUCCUCUGGGCUGACGGUGCCGGUUGCGCGCUGGCGGUGCAUAGGAGUCUGCGGUAUCUGGAUUGGUGACUCCAGAUCCGCUUGUUGCAGGCGAUCAGUGACUGUGGUGAUGUGGUGGGCAUGGUGGCUGGUGAUGCUGCUCCUCGUCGGCGAAGGUCGAUGGCUGUGGCGGAUCCAAGGUGAGGGGAGCAUGGGGAAUGUCCCUGGCCAAUGUGUCGGAACCCAACAUUGGUUCCCAUCCACUGGGACAGGACCUAUAUGCGGCUCACAAAGCCUUUGUGGCGAUGGUGCUCCUGCCCUGGCUUCUUGGUCGGCGACUCUCCUUUCCUCUGGCGACAGCGGUUCGUUGAAGGUUGAGGAUGAACAGGGACCCAGGGACUUUUAUGUGAUUUUGGUGUUUGUUUGGGUGCUCUUUGUGAUAUGGUGGGACAGUUGUACUCAUUGUAUCUUUUCUUUGCGUAGUAAUACGUGUCUCACUAAUAACAUAAUGAUAGGAUAAUCUUAUGCAAAAAACCAGUCUGGCCCUCUCCACUAAGGAAAAGAAGAUAUAUCACCUCUUCAUCCGAGAUCGACACGACUCCAUCGCUGGCCAGCAGAUUUAUGGUUUACACCUUUGUACUCGUAUUUGUACGAAUCUUGCUUGUAGUUGAAUGAAAUACGAAUGUUUUUUUUUUAAAAAAUUGGACGCGGCAUGGCUAGUUUGACCUAUACACCUACAAAGAUACGGGUGGGCUAGAUGUCAAUCGGGUCCCGUUUAAUCUCGUUUAAAGUCCACUUAUAAUAUGAUAGUUCAAAAAAGUUUUUUGUUUGUUUGAGGGAAAUGAACCAUCAAGCUAGCAAAAGCUAACUAAAUAAGAUUGCGGCCGUUAUUUAUUUGCCACUUACAUCCUCCAUGACAUGCUAAUUCGACGCGUAAAAUCCAGCUUUGAAUCAACCAGCAAUCUUUAUCAGCGACGGCGUGUACAUGAACACGAGCGUCUUGGCGAUCACUCUAUUGCGCGCAGAAUUACGUCCGCAGUUCUUAAGCUGCCCUCUAACGUCGACCACUACGCGCGCCUUUCCGCUUCCGGUGCCGGCGAUGCAGCAGUGGUGCAUGGACCGGCCCGCGAGCAGUAGCAUCUCCCCUGUGCUCGCGCACAUCCCCAGCGGCACCACACGCGCCAGUAUGUACUCCGUGUCCAACCCGAGGACCUGCGUCCACGUCCCCGCCGCCGUGCGCAGCCCCACCGUGCCUAGCAGGCUCUUCCACGUCACGACGACGCACAGCGCGCCGCCCACGUUGCCCAGCGCCACGUCCUGGCACCUCCACCGGCACGGGGGGCCGUCGACGACGCUGUACUCGCCGCUCGUCACGUCGAAGGAGAGGAGGGUGGACGCUCCAGGCUGGGCCUGCGAAUCGGGGCCGUCCAGGAAGCGGUCGUCGAUGACCCAGUACACCGUGCUGCCGACGGACGCGGGGGGCGUGCCGUAGAUCGGGCACGGCGGGUCACGGGCGGCAGGGCGCCACGAGGGCGGGCCCUGCCCCAGCGCGAGGACCUCGACGCCGAUGCUGUACGCCCCGGCCUGGACGUCGUGGACGCGGUAGUAGUAGCGGACCGCCUUGAGCGCGCGUGCGGCGGCGUCCUAGCAGAAGCCGAGGCGGUCGAUGCCGGCGCCGGUGCAGCUGGGCGCGCCGCGCGGGAGCCGCACAGACUCGCCGGUGGCCGGGUUCCACGCGAGCAGCUCCGCGGCGCUGCAGACGACGAGGACGCCGUCGCAGUGCACGAUGGUGCGGUCGAAGCUCCGCGGGGAGCGGAGCUGGACCCGUGACACGGGCCCGCCGCACUCGCCGGACUCGCGGUAGCGGUAUAUCUUGAGGAAUGGGCCCGACCCGGGGCUGCACGGCGAGACCACGGGCAUCUCCGCCCGCCAGCGCUGCAGGUGCGCGCGGGCGAAGGCAGGGUCGCGGCCGACCGUGGCGCGCCAGGCUCUGCAUACGUGGCGAAACCGUAGGACAUCGUCGGUGGGCAGCCUCUCCAGAAUAUGGAGAAGGACGGCAUCGGGAAGUGACAGCGCCGCCGCUGUCUCGUCAGUGCAGAUCUUCCUCUUCUUCUUGGGUGGAUUAGCAUCCAUUGCUGUGACUACAAACUGCUCUCGGCAAUUUAGAUAGAAGAUGUAAAUGUAGGAUGCGACUACGUCACUGAGCGUGGUCACCCCCUCCCGUUUCUGGGAAGGCCGCUCUGUGCAAAACUACGGGAGUGCGAAAUAUUUCUAUAUGUUGAUUCGUGCCCGGUGAGGGUAUAUAUGAACGGAAGUAGAGAAGAGGGAGCGAGAAAGACUCGGAAUAGGACUACAAGAAAAUCUCUCUAUAUAAAUCUACGCCGUUGUAGGAAUUGGUGUAGAUGUCGACCCCAGAAAUUCGCACUCCCGUGAUCCGAGACACGCGCGUAAGUGGUUGCCGUCGCCUUGAUGCAUGCAGAAAAACUCGCAUGAGGACGUAGUAAGUUUUAAGUUUCUAGUUAUCUCACAAAAAAAGUUUUAAGUUUUAGUCUCUGAAAUUGUCGAUCACACGUUCAGAAACUUACAAGUUUGUCGGUUGCUCGUGCCAAGUUUCAGCAAUUGAAACUUAAAACAUAAAAAAAAA